AUACUCCAAAAAAGUAGGAGAAAAUGGAGUGAAAAAGCCUUAACACAAAUGCUAAGUGAGUUCCUUUGAGGAGCUUGCUGGCCGAGAAAGAGGUUACUGAGAUCCCUUUCAAGGAACGGUCCAGUUAUUGGCAACUUUGAGACACGACCUUGGAACUGCAGCAAGACAUUGGUACAACAAGUGAAUUAACAAGGAUAAAGGACUAGAAGAA